rnacentral:lncRNA from 1 species
UGUUCUUAUCAUUUGCCCUUGAGAUAUAAAUACAGUGUGCCAAAGUCACUAGCAUACGUACCUGAGCAAUUGCGCUACCGGAAUCCGGUAUAAAGGUAGCAUCACAAACGACCUCUUCUGAGUUCAUGGACGUCAAAACUCUCGCGAAAAUUUUCUUUCUCGUCUUACUUUCAACUUCAUCCAUCUCAUCUGCAACAUCAAGAACAAUUUCCGGGAAAACAAGUGAGUUGUGUAGUUCACAAAUACCUUACAUGACAAUUGAUAGUUUAGUUUAUCGUUCGUGUUUGUGGUGCUUUGGUUUUAUGCAGACGAAUUUAGGGGCAACGAUACCCAUGUUUCAGAGGUAAAGGUACACCCAAGUCCCAUCCGGUCACCAAGAUCAAAGGCAAUGGAUGUUCCUUCUCCAAUCGGCUUUUGUUGUUGAUAAUCCAAAAUCAGACGAAACUUCAGGAUUUGGGUUGGGAGUUGCUUCUUUUUAUUGUAUUUUCUUUGGGCGGGGAGGUUGCUUCUUUUUGUGUUUAUUUAAUUUUUUUUGUUCUGUAAGUACUUCUUUUUAUUGUUGUCGAUAAGCCUAUAUACAAAUGGGCAUGUCUAGUAUCAAAAUAAUGUGAAAUCCAAGAUAUUUGUUCCAAUGUGUCCUAGUUUUUCA